rnacentral:rRNA from 1 species
GAUGAACGCUGGCGGCGUGCUUAACACAUGCAAGUCGAACGGAAAGGCCCAAGCUUGCUUGGGUACUCGAGUGGCGAACGGGUGAGUAACACGUGGGUGAUCUGCCCUGCACUUCGGGAUAAGCCUGGGAAACUGGGUCUAAUACCGGAUAGGACGAUGGUUUGGAUGCCAUUGUGGAAAGUUUUUUCGGUGUGGGAUGAGCUCGCGGCCUAUCAGCUUGUUGGUGGGGUAAUGGCCUACCAAGGCGUCGACGGGUAGCCGGCCUGAGAGGGUGUACGGCCACAUUGGGACGUAGAUACGGCCCAGACUCCUACGGGAGGCAGCAGUGGGGAAUAUUGCACAAUGGGCGCAAGCCUGAUGCAGCGACGCCGCGUGGGGGAUGACGGCCUUCGGGUUGUAAACUCCUUUCGCUAGGGACGAAGCGUUUUUGUGACGGUACCUGGAGAAGAAGCACCGGCUAACUACGUG